AGAGUUUGAUCAUGGCUCAGAAUCAACGCUGGCGGCGUGCCUAACACAUGCAAGUCGAACGAGAAAGUGGAGCAAUCCAUGAGUAAAGUGGCGCACGGGUGAGUAACACGUGACUAACCUACCCUUGAGUGGGGGAUAACCUAGGGAAACCUGGGCUAAUACCGCAUAACACCUACGGGUCAAAGGAGCAAUUCGCUUAAGGAGGGGGUCGCGGCAGAUUAGUUAGUUGGCGGGGUAAUGGCCCACCAAGACAGUGAUCUGUAUCCGGCCUGAGAGGGCGCACGGACACACUGGAACUGAAACACGGUCCAGACUCCUACGGGAGGCAGUAGUGGGGAAUUUUGCGCAAUGGGGGAAACCCUGACGCAGCAACGCCGCGUGGAGGAUGAAGUCCCUUGGGACGUAAACUCCUUUCGACCGGGACGAUGAUGACGGUACCGGAAGAAGAAGCCCCGGCUAACUUCGUGCCAGCAGCCGCGGUAAUACGAGGGGGGCGAGUGUUGUUCGGAAUUAUUGGGCGUAAAGGGUGCGUAGGCGGUUCGGUAAGUUUUGUGUGAAAUCUUCGGGCUUAACUCGAAGCCUGCACAAGAUACUGCCGGGCUAGAGUGUGGGAGAGGUGAGUGGAAUUUCCGGUGUAGCGGUGAAAUGCGUAGAUAUCGGAAGGAACACCUGUGGCGAAAGCGGCUCACUGGACCACAACUGACGCUGAGGCACGAAAGCUAGGGGAGCAAACAGGAUUAGAUACCCCCGUAGUCC
rnacentral:rRNA from 1 species